rnacentral:rRNA from 1 species
UGGGGAAUUGUUCGCAAUGGGCGCAAGCCUGACGACGCAACGCCGCGUGGAGGAUGAAGAUCUUCGGGUCGUAAACUCCUUUCGAUCGAGACGAACGGCCCGCCGGUUAACAGCCGGCGGGAGUGACGGUACCGAGAGAAGAAGCCCCGGCUAACUCCGUGCCAGCAGCCGCGGUAAUACGGGGGGGGCAAGCGUUGUUCGGAAUUACUGGGCGUAAAGGGCUCGUAGGCGGCCAACUAAGUCAGACGUGAAAUCCCUCGGCUCAACUGAGGAACUGCGUCUGAUACUGGAUGGCUUGAAUCCGGGAGAGGGAUGUGGAAUUCCAGGUGUAGCGGUGAAAUGCGUAGAUAUCUGGAGGAACACCGGUGGCGAAGGCGGCAUCCUGGACCGGUAUUGACGCUGAGGAGCGAAAGCCAGGGGAGCAAACGGGAUUAGAUACCCCCGUAGUCC